rnacentral:rRNA from 1 species
UACGUAGGGUGCGAGCGUUGCCCGGAUUUAUUGGGCGUAAAGGGCGCGUAGGCGGCUACGCACGUCCGUUGUGAAAUCGCUCGGCUCAACUGGGCGGGGUCAGCGGAUACGGUAUAGCUGGAGCAAGCUAGGGGGCAAUGGAAUUCCCGGUGUAGUGGUGGAAUGCGUAGAUAUCGGGAGGAACACCGAUGGCGAAGGCAGGUCUCUGGGCAUUAACUGACGCUGAGGAGCGAAAGCAUGGGGAGCGAACAGG